CCUCCGGGGCUCGGAGAGGCCAGGAUCCUCCUUCGAUCUGAGCAAACAAAUUCCACCUUCCAGAUCAAGGUGAUUGUGUUGAUUCUGCUGCUCUUUCCAAGCCAUUGAGUCAUGCCGGAGGAAAGAGUCAGCUGAACAGGAACGUGUACCUGUACUUCUACUGAAACUUAACGACACUGCUCCUCAAAGAAAGACGGUUAUUAUACUACUGCACAACUCUUACAAAUGCAAGGAAUGGUUGUGUCCACUGCUUCAGGCACUGAACUCAUCUUGGAGGAGUGGGAAAACUAUACCUUUCAUUUUUACACGCAGUGGAGAUCAUUGACUAAAGAGGACGAUCGGGGAGCUCUGGACAUGCUAAUCUCUAAAAUUCGGGCCUCGACGUCCUCCAUAUCCGGGCAGGCUCAUGACGUCUAAUCUUGUUUGGUGCUUCAUCGUCCCUCCUAUCUGUUGGUGUUUCCGUUAUCCCUCCGGCCUGCGUGCCGUGUUUGGCAAGUUGCCAUGUACCGCUUAUACUCUCGUGUGUCCUGGUUUUAUUCUGUUACUGUGGUUGGUGGGUGUUUCGCCCUGGGUGUUGAUGUUGGGCUUAUGACGCUGCCUCGUGGCUUUAUUUAUAA